CCUACGGGUGGCAGCAGUGAGGAAUAUUGGUCAAUGGGCGCGAGCCUGAACCAGCCAAGUAGCGUGAAGGAUGACUGCCCUACGGGUUGUAAACUUCUUUUAUAAAGGAAUAAAGUGAGGCACGUGUGCCUUUUUGUAUGUACUUUAUGAAUAAGGAUCGGCUAACUCCGUGCCAUCAGCCGCGGUAAUACGGAGGAUCCGAGCGUUAUCCGGAUUUAUUGGGUUUAAAGGGAGCGUAGAUGGGUUGUUAAGUCAGUUGUGAAAGUUUGAGGCUCAACCGUAAAAUUGCAAUUGAUACUGGCAGUCUUGAGUACAGUUGAGGUAGGCGGAAUUCGUGGUGUAGCGGUGAAAUGCUUAGAUAUCACGAAGAACUCCGAUUGCGAAGGCAGCUUACUAAACUGCCACUGACAUUGAUGCUCGAAAGUGUGGGUAUCAAACAGGAUUAGAUACCAUUGUAGUC
rnacentral:rRNA from 1 species